ensembl:antisense Gm28892 uncharacterized LOC110293526
UUUCUGAGUACUUUAUCCAAAGUAAUAGUCGAGAGACACAACAAGCAGAGCCUGUAUCAGCGUUGGUGACUGGCAGCUAGCACAGCCUAAUACUAGAAAGCUGUUCAAGAUGUGAGCAGUGCUCCAGGACAGGAAAAAGUAGCACUAGUGAGCGGCCUGCCUCACUUCACAGAGGAAUGUUCAUCUUCACCCUCAACACACAUGUGCCCAGAGCGGCUCAUCUCCUAAAACUGUAUGCCACAAAGCAAGACAGCCCUGAAGGGACUGUGUGUCACUGGUCGGUCAGUCACUUACCAAUGCUUCUUUGACCUCUUCAGAGACAUCUGUUUCAUCUUCCUGAAAUGGAAAGAUGAGGAAAGCCAUAGGGACCAUAGUCACAGACCUCUCUGAAAACAGCAAGCUCAGCUCCUACAAAUUACACUUGGCCUUUCAAUUGUGGGCAAUGAGACUGAAAGCCAAGUGAUGCCACCAGUGCCACUUUCAACACGUGCCACAGGCAGGGGGCUUAGAAGCAUCACUGUGGUAAAAUAUGUUGAAUCAAAUACAGCAAGGAAAAGAAAAGGCUGGCAGCCACAGGUGAUAUGGUGUGCCCCAUAGACUACUUACGUCAUUUGUCCAGAAGUUAAUGCCCGUGCCUCUUCGCCUAUCUUUAGCUCUUCUCCUCUCCCGGACAGACAGCCUGUUAGAGGACUGAUCAUCCAGAUCAGCUUCUUCUUUCUCUGCCCAAAGAUAACACACAAUGUGGAUCUUAAAAGCCUGUGCAUGCACCCUGGGGAGUGACUUCUGAAGCUCCAGACAGGUCUGCACCAAAGACUGCUACAAACACACAGUGUCUUCCAGGAAUUGUUCACUUCAAGGCAGAAUAGCAUUUAAGUCACCACUUUAUGAAGGUUCACUAAAUUAUCGUGCUUGUGGGCAGAGCAUGCUAGCAAAAAGAGCUCACCUCUUCCUCCAGACUUCUGCCCUCACCAGCUCCCUUUGUUGGGGCUGCUGAUGGCUCCUGCUUCUUGGUGCUUCCUUCAAGGCCACCAGGAUCUUCAAGCUUCUCACCAGGCUGCUCCUGAGCUUGUCUCUCCGCCCUCGAACGGCUGAAAGUCUUUUCUGCUUCUUGGAGGUCUGUUAGGGUAACACCCUGGGAAAAUAUCAAGUGGUAAAGACAGUUUCACAUUAACACACAGAAUUCUCGAGCAGAGAAACUGCCCCUAAAAAAACCCAAAUAAAUCUCCCAACAGGCCAUUUCUAGCAACACAUGCCUAAAAUAAUCACCGAGGUGCACAGAGAACGCAGACCUAAAUCUGUGUACACUCUGAACUAAAACUUUAGCUUUCCUAACUUGAUCUUCCAAAAAUAGGUCAGCAGUGACAGCCACUGUUACAGAUGUACUUGGUCCACACCAAACUGUGCUCAGUUGUCUGAGUGCACUUCAUCCUCUCCCAAGAUCAAAUGGUUAUUAUCCUCUUAUUCUCUGAGCAGUAAAUACUGGGAAAACCAAACUUUUAAAACUUGGUUCAAGAAGGUGAAAAUUCAUAGCUAGGUUAAAACAACCAAACUUUCUGAAAUGCUAUAUUGGCUUUUUUUUUUCUCUAUUGUCAUUUCCUGAGUAACUCUAGGAAACACACAGAGAUGUGCCAACAACUACUGUUCCCCCUGAGAUCACUGGAGCAGUAUGACAGAGGCAAAGCCAAAUGGUAGACCUGGGCAGGACGGCCCUAAGGAGAGAGUGAGAUUAUUCCCGUAGAGUGUGUAUGUUUUCAGAGCUUUGGAGGAGACCAUGUCCCAAAGCUGGAAGGCAGGCACUAAUUACUAAACCCAUAGCAUCCUUUUUAUUUUAAAAAAUUAUAUGUAUAUGUAUGCUCUUAUGUAUGUAUACAAGUAUACCGCUUGCAGAGGAUGCCGGAUCCCCUGAAGCUGGAGUAAGGGAUGACAAUGUGGGGUUCUCUGCAAGACCAGAAAGCACCCUCCACUGCAGGACUCCCUCUCUAGUCUCAUCGUUGCCUUUAAAAAAAAAUAGCUAAUUCAUAAUUUUAUUCACUCUUUUAAAUAACUGAUAUCUUUAAGCACUUAAACUUACAGAGGCAAGUCAAGAAAUUCUUUUCAAGAAACUUUCUUCAAAGAUUUAUUUUCAGUUAUGGGUAUGUGUGUGAGGCUGGCAGAGUUGAUGUACCCUAUGUGCAUGCUGGAGCCUACAGAAGAGGCCGGAGAGGGUGUUGGAUCCUCUGGAACUUGAGUUACAGGUGGUUGUAAGCCACUGUGUAGACACUGGAAACUGAGCCUGGGCCUUCGGUAAGUAAGGGCAGUAAGCACUCUUAGCUGCUGGCCUCGCUCACCUUUUCAAGAAACGUUUCAUCCACCAGAAAUUACAUGAAAAAAGUAGAUGAUCGUAAGAUGUUAUGUACACAUGAAGAUAGAAACCCUGGGACCUGAGAGAACAGCACAGGGAUAAAUGAACCUGAGGACCAGAGUCUGGAACCACAGAACCCAGGAGUCAGAUAAGACCUAAGAAGAGAGGAAUGAGAAAGUGCUCUGCAUCCUGAAGGGAUUCCCGAAUGCUGAAAAUAAAGUAUUUAUACUCUCUGCAUCCAUAUGCCUUUACCCAUACCACCCUGCUCUCCCUUCGCCCCCCGACGCAGAGGACUACCAGAAAACAGUUACCUUCUUGCGCAGGCCUGCAUAGCAGAAUGAAGGUCAAGACAUGCACGGAGAAGAACAGC